GAUGAACGCUGGCGGCGUGCUUAACACAUGCAAGUCGAACGAUGAACCUCACUUGUGGGGGGAUUAGUGGCGAACGGGUGAGUAACACGUGAGUAACCUGCCCUUAACUCUGGGAUAAGCCUGGGAAACUGGGUCUAAUACCGGAUAUGACUCCUCAUCGCAUGGUGGGGGGUGGAAAGCUUUUUGUGGUUUUGGAUGGACUCGCGGCCUAUCAGCUUGUUGGUGAGGUAAUGGCUCACCAAGGCGACGACGGGUAGCCGGCCUGAGAGGGUGACCGGCCACACUGGGACUGAGACACGGCCCAGACUCCUACGGGAGGCAGCAGUGGGGAAUAUUGCACAAUGGGCGAAAGCCUGAUGCAGCGACGCCGCGUGAGGGAUGACGGCCUUCGGGUUGUAAACCUCUUUCAGUAGGGAAGAUGCGAAAGUG
rnacentral:rRNA from 1 species